AUUGAACGCUGGCGGCAUGCCUUACACAUGCAAGUCGAACGGUAACGGGCCUUCGGGUGCCGACGAGUGGCGAACGGGUGAGUAAUACAUCGGAACGUGCCCGAUCGUGGGGGAUAACGAGGCGAAAGCUUUGCUAAUACCGCAUACGAUCUACGGAUGAAAGCAGGGGACCGCAAGGCCUUGCGCGGACGGAGCGGCCGCUGGCAGAUUAGGUAGUUGGUGGGAUAAAAGCUUACCAAGCCGACGAUCUGUAGCUGGUCUGAGAGGAUGAUCAGCCACACUGGAACUGAGACACGGCCCAGACUCCUACGGGAGGCAGCAGUGGGGAAUUUUGGACAAUGGGCGCAAGCCUGAUCCAGCCAUGCCGCGUGCAGGAUGAAGGCCUUCGGGUUGUAAACUGCUUUUGUACGGAACGAAAAGCCUUCUUUUAAUACAGGAGGGUCAUGACGGUACCGUAAGAAUAAGCACCGGCUAACUACGUG
rnacentral:rRNA from 1 species